AGGCAGGCGCUCGGCGAGGCGGUCGGCUGCGCAGCUGCUUGGCACGCAGGCAGGAUCAGCUCGCGGCGCGCAGGGCACCGGCUGCAGAGUAGCUCGGUCGACAGACCCCAGUGCGGCGCGGACACCAGCGCAUCCCUGGUGCGUGGCGUGCGACCUGAGCAGCAACCGGCGCGGCAGCAGGCGGAGCAGGGAGUGCUGGAGCGCAUCGCCCUCAGGUGAGGAGGCCGCCCAGGUGCAGGUCACCAGUGACACUGAUGCAGCGUGUUUUUGCUUUGGAUCUUGUGUGCUUGCAUGAUUGAUGAUCUGCAGGUGGCCAGCGAACUUCAGUAGCUGCAGCUUUGUGUUUGCAUUUGUGUGUGAUCUGAUUUGACAGGUCAUUAAUCAAGGAGGCAGCUGUUAGCUCGGUGAUUGGAAAGUUCGGCCACGCCUACAACAUGCUUGGUGAAAUGCCGCACUAGGCCGUCCAUGAAGGAGAUUGCCGAUGAAUUGGGCAGAUUAAGGAAGCUCUCGCUGCAUCCUUGGGCUCAACUGGAUGCAGAGACCGAGACAGAGAGCCUUCUUGGCGGACCAUCAACUGCUAGUAUAGAAAUAGAAGAAGCUACUACUUCUGGGUAUCCUACGCAGGGUGGGGAGGGGAAGACCUGCCCAUGAACCCAAUGAGUUCAUAUUUUGGGAGGUGAUCAAAACAUAUGCUCUACGUCUUUGGAAACUCUUUAUGCUGGGGCCUGUGCUAGCUGGUCUAAUAUGAAAUGUGUAUAGAUGAAACUGUUUUUUCUGCCUGA